GUCGAGAAUCUUUCACAAUGGGGGCAACCCUGAUGGAGCGACGCCGCGUGGAGGAUAAGGUCUUCGGAUUGUAAACUCCUGUCAUGCGUGAACAAGGUUGCUUGGUUAAUACCUGGGCAAAUUGAUGGUAACGCAAGAGGAAGAGACGGCUAACUCUGUGCCAGCAGCCGCGGUAAUACAGAGGUCUCAAGCGUUGUUCGGAAUCACUGGGCGUAAAGGGUGCGUAGGUGGCGUAGUAAGUCAGCUGUGAAAGCCCGGGGCUCAACCUCGGAACUGAUUCCGAUACUGCCAUGCUAGAGUACUGGAGAGGUGACUAGAAUUCUCGGUGUAGCAGUGAAAUGCGUAGAUAUCGAGAGGAAGACCAAAGGCGUAGGCAGGUCACUGGACAGUUACUGACACUGAGGCACGAAGGCCAGGGGAGCGAACGGGAUUAGAUACCCUUGUAGUCC
rnacentral:rRNA from 1 species